GAUGAACGCUGGCGGCGUGCUUAACACAUGCAAGUCGAACGGAAAGGCCCAAGCUUGCUUGGGUACUCGAGUGGCGAACGGGUGAGUAACACGUGGGUGAUCUGCCCUGCACUUCGGGAUAAGCCUGGGAAACUGGGUCUAAUACCGGAUAGGACGAUGGUUUGGAUGCCAUUGUGGAAAGUUUUUUCGGUGUGGGAUGAGCUCGCGGCCUAUCAGCUUGUUGGUGGGGUAAUGGCCUACCAAGGCGUCGACGGGUAGCCGGCCUGAGAGGGUGUACGGCCACAUUGUGACUGAGAUACGGCGCAGACGCCUACGGGAGGCAGCAGUGGGGAAUAUUGCACAAUGGGCGCAAGCCUGAUGCAGCGACGCCGCGUGGGGGAUGACGGCCUUCGGGUUGUAAACUCCUUUCGCUAGGGACGAAGCGUUUUUGUGACGGUACCUGGAGAAGAAGCACCGGCUAACUACGUG
rnacentral:rRNA from 1 species